AUGCUUGGUUGUCGACCUGUAGCUACACCUAUUGAACAAAAUCAUAGGUUAAGUAGUGAUGCAGGGACACCGGUUGAUCGGGAACGCUACCAAAGGCUUGUUGGAAGGUUGAUAUAUCUGUCCCAUACCCGUCCAGAUAUUGCCUUUGCUGUGAGUGUAGUUAGCCAAUAUAUGAAUGACCCAAAGUCAGCUCAUAUGGAAGCUGUGAUUAGGAUACUGCGAUAUCUUAAGGGGUGCCCAGGAAAAGGCCUCUUAUAUACGAGACAAGGGGACCUGCAAGUUGAAUGCUAUACUGAUGCCGAUUGGGCAGGUUCUCUUGAUGAUCGGCGCUCAACGUCAGGUUACUGCACAUUUGUUGGAGGGAACCUAGUUUCAUGGCGAAGCAAAAAACAAAGUGUAGUGGCUUGA
rnacentral:rRNA from 1 species